rnacentral:rRNA from 1 species
CGAACGCUGGCGGCAGGCUUACCACAUGCAAGUCGAGCGGGCAUCUUCGGAUGUCAGCGGCAGACGGGUGAGUAACACGUGGGAACGUACCCUUCGGUUCGGAACAACUCUGGGAAACUGGAGCUAAUACCGGAUACGCCCUUAUGGGGAAAGGUUUACUGCCGAAGGAUCGGCCCGCGUCUGAUUAGCUAGUUGGUGGGGUAACGGCCUACCAAGGCGACGAUCAGUAGCUGGUCUGAGAGGAUGAUCAGCCACACUGGGACUGAGACACGGCCCAGACUCCUACGGGAGGCAGCAGUGGGGAAUAUUGGACAAUGGGCGCAAGCCUGAUCCAGCCAUGCCGCGUGAGUGAUGAAGGCCUUAGGGUUGUAAAGCUCUUUUGUCCGGGACGAUAAUGACGGUACCGGAAGAAUAAGCCCCGGCUAACUUCGUG